AGGCGGACGGGGUUAAAAGACGCAGCAAAUCCUGCGUGGUGCUUCCUAGGACCGGGGGGGUGACUGGUGCUGGCUGUGAGUGCCCUUGCAGUUCAGCUGGAACCAGGACAUGUUGGUUCCAUUGCUGGUUCCAUUGCUGCACUGUUAGAUUCUCCCUCUUCAAGUCAAGGGGAGAGCUUCUCACCAGCUAUAGCAUUUUGAUGGAGGUCUUAGAACUGCAGCAAGAGCUGCCAUGUUAUGCUCUACUGAAUCAACUUUUGAGCAAGCAGUUACCAUUUCAGACAAUGUGGGCUCCCCAGAUGUUCAUCCCUUAAAAAGCCCAGCAGAGCCGCAUCAGAAGACUGCGCCAACCUAUGGAGUCUUCUCGCCUGUAUGCUUGGAAUAAGCACCACCAAUUUGAUGAUACCCAGACCACCAUCCUUAAAACUCGAAUACAAGAUGGCAUCACAUGUACUCAGUGGAAGAUGAAGCCAUUCCUUGACCGCCUUACGAAUCAACAGGUCAAGGGAUUCCAGAAGGCCCACGCUCACCUCGUAAUCAGGCCUUCAAAUACGAUGUUAUCUGUCUCCGCAUGCGGAGGGAAAUUCGCCAAGCUACCAAACUCUCCAGUUGUAUCCCAUUGUAUCUUAAAGUGAUCGUGGACAACCCCAGAUGGUAACUGGAACCACACAGUUUCCGUACUGUCCAGAAUAAUAGGUGCCAGAUGCCUUCUAUGCAACUCGUACAACACCUGAAAACUGAGAAAUUUCCCUCUUUUUACCGCCCUUUUACGCAUCCAAUUAGUUGCUGUUUUGGAUGCACUCCGACCACGAACCAUCUGCCUUUUUCAACCCCUGCUAGAUCUCAUAUUUUGGCCUGGCACACCCAGGCUAUUUCGAAACUCAUCAAAACCCUCAUUCACCAGCUUUGGCAGAUUUUGACCCUUCAAUGCCUUCUUGAAGACUUCAUGAUACCUGGCAAAUAUGCCAGGCAAUAAACCAGUUUUGAUGGCAUCACGGUAA